GCAUAGGUUUGGAUCUAUGGCAGGUCUGUCUCCCUGGACCUCUCAUAGUGUCCCAUGCCAGAGCAAACUGUAGCCCUGAACCAUUGAUGACCUUGUCCAUAGGCCUCGGCAAUGAAGCGGGUUGCACAGUG
ensembl:snoRNA